GCACCUUUAGCUCAGCUGGUAGAGCAGUAGACUCUUAAUCUAUUUGUCCAGGGUUCGAAUCCCUGAAGGUGCAC
rnacentral:tRNA from 1 species